CAACUAACAACAUACCAUCCAGCGAUGAGGAAAAAUAUUGGAGGUUAGGACGAGUUAGUCAAAAACAUCGGCCUUUCGGGUAAGCGUCGUCGGUUGAAUUUCCUCGAUUUUUUUAAAGUUUUUUUCUAUUAUAGUAACAUUUUAGGUUUAAAAUAUUCUAUUAGAAUGUCGAGCGCGUUACAGAGCACUAUAUCGUACAUAAUUCAGCUCGAAUUUAUUCUCAGAUUCGUAAUAAACGGGGUCCUGUAGUACGGAGUCGUAAAGGUUUUUUUGUGAUCCUUCAGAGAGAAUUGCAACGGAGAAAUGUCAUUGAUGCGGAUUCUUAGCUCUUAUCUUGAACGUCAUAUCUUUAGUGUUAUUAGUGCGCGUUCACCGUUAAAAUGUGUUCGAUUCUUAUGCUCUAAGUUCUCAGUUUUAGUGCGAGAAAAUGCUGUUUUUCCACUCCGAUCCCUCACCAUGUUUUCAAGCCCAGCAUUUCGCUAAUGUAAGCUGCAUAGUUGGCGAACUGUAGAUGAUCCAGCAAUCAUGAUAUGUGAAUUCAAAUCUUCAAUGUAAUGUGUUAAACUUGUCUACGUCUAGUGAUGCUCAAUGUUGUUUAUCUAUGAUUAGUUUCUGUCACAUCACCUAGCAAGAGUGUGUCACCAUUGCCCUCGAUUUUGUUGUAAAAUGAAAAUGAAAUUUUAUCAAUUAAAGCCUUCUAAAAUCUUGCUCAUA